rnacentral:rRNA from 1 species
ACUCCUACGGGAGGCAGCAGUGGGGAAUAUUGCACAAUGGGCGCAAGCCUGAUGCAGCCAUGCCGCGUGUAUGAAGAAGGCCUUCGGGUUGUAAAGUACUUUCAGCAGUGAGGAAGGCGGGUACGUUAAUAGCGUGCUUGUUUGACGUUAGCUGCAGAAGAAGCACCGGCUAACUCCGUGCCAGCAGCCGCGGUAAUACGGAGGGUGCGAGCGUUAAUCGGAAUUACUGGGCGUAAAGCGCAUGCAGGUGGUUUGUUAAGUCAGAUGUGAAAGCCCGGGGCUCAACCUCGGAAUUGCAUUUGAAACUGGCAGACUAGAGUACUGUAGAGGGGGUAGAAUUUCAGGUGUAGCGGUGAAAUGCGUAGAGAUCUAGAAGGAAUACCGGUAGGCGAAGGCGGCCCCCUGGACAGAUACUGACACUCAGAUGCGAAAGCGUGGGGAGCAAACAGGAUUAGAUACCCUGGUAGGAUAGCC